rnacentral:lncRNA from 1 species
CACAAUCCGGGUCCAAUGUCACUUCUCCUCAUUAUGUUAAUAGUUAAUACAUGCAAAUGAAAACACUCUAGCAAUUUGAUUUCUUUGAAGAUAGUUUGCAUAUUGUCUUAGCCAUAAUGACUGUACACUUCUCUCAGCCUCCAUUUAUGCAAGGGUAGUGUAGUUCAUUUUUAUCAGCUCCAGUUCAUUUUGGCUGCUAUUGGAAUGUAUGUGCAUGUUUCUUUUUUACCUUUUGCCUAAUUACCAUUCAGGUACCAUAAGCAGAUUUUUCAUGCUAUUGGUGUUUUUCUUAAUUAAGAAACAAAUGAAUUCUCCCUAGCAAAAAAAGAUGGAACAACAGAAUAAGAUGCCAGGGGCUGAUGUUCUGUUUCUUAAUUGAAGCAGUUCUAUUGUUCGGUGUCGGUAGUGAGGGGGCUGAAAUGUCAUAAGUGUAGAAUGUUAAUAGUACAAAAAUAACAUAAAACUACUUUUAAAAAUAAAGAAUACAAAACAAUGCUGUAAGAGCUUUGAAAACAUAGAUUUUUAUCCACAUAUUAAUUCUGACAGUAACAAAGUAGCUUCAUUUACAAAUCCCUCACACUUAGAAAGCCUGAGGUUCUAACCCCAGUCCUGAGAGAUAUGCCUGCCCCACUCUGCUGGUCUAGUUAACAGUGUCCUACUUAUUUACUCUUCAUCAAUUAAGGAAGCACCCAGGGGAACAAUUUGUUUCUUUAAUUUGUGAAUAAACCAUUGCUACUUUAAUUUGCAUUCUUCUUUUUUUCUACCCACAGUAAAAUCUCAAUGUCCUACCAGUAUAUUCAAUAUGCCUUACUACAACCUUAAGGUGCCUGACCUAUGUAUGAGAUGCAUCAAAGAGUCAAAUAGAAUAAAAAGAAUUUAAUAUAUAUGUGAACAAAGCAUAUCAUUAUGUAGUUUUUCCCUAUUUGGAAGGAAGAGGUCAUAAGUAACUCAUUUUAUCAUAAAUAUCUCUAUGCAUAGUGAAAAAUAAAGGUGGA